GACGAACGCUGGCGGCGUGCCUAAUACAUGCAAGUAGAACGCAGUUGCGAACGGGUGAGUAACGCGUAGGUAACUGCCUCAUGGCGGGGGCUAACUAUUGGAACCGAUAGCUAAUACCGCAUACUGUGAGAUGGACCUGCGUUGGAUUGGGUAGUUGGUGAGGUAAAGGCUCACCAAGGCGACGAUACCUCGCCGACCUGAGAGGGAGAUCGGACACAAUGGGAACUAGAAACGGCUCAGAAUUCCACGGGAGGCAGCAGUAGGGAAUCGUUGGAAAUGGGCGGAAGUCCUGACGAGCAACUCCGCGGGAGUGAAGAAGGGUCUCGGAACGUAAAGCUCUGUUGUUUUAGAAGCGGUAACUAACGAGAAAGGGACGGCUAACUACGUGCCAGCAGCCGCGGUAAUAC
rnacentral:rRNA from 1 species